rnacentral:rRNA from 1 species
UACGGGGGGGGCAAGCGUUGUUCGGAAUUACUGGGUGUAAAGGGUUCGUAGGCGGUGUAGCAAGUCGGGAGUGAAAUCUCUGGGCUUAACCCAGAGGCUGCUUCCGAAACUGCUGUGCUUGAGUGUGGGAGAGGCGCGUGGAAUUGCAGGUGUAGCGGCGAAAUGCGUAGAUAUCUGCAGGAACACCCGUGGCGAAAGCGGCGCGCUGGACCACUACUGACGCUGAGGAACGAAAGCUAGGGGAGCAAACAGG